UUCCGUGUUCUUUGUUUGCCCCUUCUCGCCAUGUCUUUCCUCUUCGGCGGGUCGAAAGCCUUGAAACCCUAGAUCUUUAUGCCGAUAGACUGAUGGCUUGAUUCCUGGGGCGGAAGACCACUGGUGCGAGGCAUCUCUGGCCCUCGGAAGACGCCCGAAACCACGAAACGGGCCGCCGCCUCUUCUCCGAUUCCAUGAGCCCAGUCCCGCUUCAAGAAAAGAACCAAACAAACUGUUGAUAUGCAAAUGCAGCAAUAUUUAUAGAGAGAAGGAAAUUUUACCAAUGGAGUUCUUCCUUUGGAGUCACCAAUAUCAGGAUCCAUUCCUGCUUUGAGGAGUUUGUCAAGGAAGCAACUAUUUCCUGUAGCAGCUACUAACUUCUUUCAGGGUGCUCUGCUUCAACUUUAACAGCUGAGACAAUGUUCUGGUGCGGAAUAUAAAGCUUUGAGGCCUUUCGCUGAGUGCAGUAAAUUCUCCAAAUAUAUCUCCUGUGCUAAACUUGCCUACAACUUGUUCCAUC